rnacentral:rRNA from 1 species
UACGUAGGGGGGCGAGCGUUGUCCGGAUUCAUUGGGCGUAAAGAGCUCGUAGGCGGUUUGGCAAGUCGGGUGUGAAAUCUCUGGGCUCAACUCAGAGAGGCCACUCGAUACUGCUAUGACUAGAGUCCGGUAGGGGACCAUGGAAUUCCUGGUGUAGCGGUGAAAUGCGCAGAUAUCAGGAGGAACACCGGUGGCGAAGGCAGCCCCCUGGGUCAAGACUGACGCUCAUGCACGAAAGCGUGGGGAUCAAACAGG